rnacentral:rRNA from 1 species
CCUACGGGGGGCAGCAGUGGGGAAUAUUGCACAAUGGGGGAAACCCUGAUGCAGCGACGCCGCGUGAGUGAAGAAGUAUUUCGGUACGUAAAGCUCGAUCAGCAGGGAAGAAAAGGACGGUACCUGACGAAGAAGCCCCGGCUAACGACGUGCCAGCAGCCGCGGUAAUACGUAGGGGGCAAGCGUUAUCCGGAUUUACUGGGUGUAAAGGGAGCGUAGACGGCAGCGCAAGUCUGGAGUGAAAUCCCAUGGCUUAACCCUGGAACUGCUUUGGAAACUGUGCAGCUAGAGUGCAGGAGCGGUAAGCUGACUUCCUCGUGUAGCGGUGCAAUGCGUAGCUCUUAGGAGGAACCCCAGUUGCGCAGGCGGCUUACUGGACUGUACCUGACGUUGAGGCUCGACAGCGUGGGGAGCAAACCGGAUUAGAUACCCCAGUAGUC